rnacentral:misc_RNA from 1 species
GAUGAAGAACGUAGCGAAAUGCGAUAAGUAGUGUGAAUUGCAGAAUUCAGUGAAUCAUCGAAUCUUUGAACGCACAUUGCACCUCUCGGUAUUCCGGGAGGUAUGCCUGUUCGAGCGUCAUUUGUACCCUCAAGCUCUGCUUGGUGUUGGGUGUUUGUUCCGCCUCUGUGUGUGAACUCGCCUCAAAACAAUUGGCAGCCGGCGUACUUGUUUCGGAGCGCAGCACAUUUUGCGAUCCAGAUCAACGUACAGCGGCAUCCAAGAAGCCUUAUUUAACGCUCUUGACCUCGGAUCAGGUAGGGAUACCCGCUGAACUUAAGCAUAUCAAUAAGCGGAGGA